rnacentral:rRNA from 1 species
UGAGCUUGAUCCUGGCUCAGGACGAACGCUGGCGGCGUGCCUAAUACAUGCAAGUCGAGCGAAUGGAGGGGAGCUUGCUCCCUGAAGUUAGCGGCGGACGGGUGAGUAACACGUGGGCAACCUGCCCUGUAGACUGGGAUAACAUCGAGAAAUCGGUGCUAAUACCGGAUAAUCAAAGGAAUCACAUGGUUCUUUUGUAAAAGAUGGCUUCGGCUAUCACUAUAGGAUGGGCCCGCGGUGCAUUAGCUAGUUGGUGAGGUAGAGGCUCACCAAGGCAACGAUGCAUAGCCGACCUGAGAGGGUGAUCGGCCACACUGGGACUGAGACACGGCCCAGACUCCUACGGGAGGCAGCAGUAGGGAAUCUUCCGCAAUGGACGAAAGUCUGACGGAGCAACGCCGCGUGAGUGAUGAAGGUUUUCGGAUCGUAAAGCUCUGUUGUUAGGGAAGAACAAGUACCGUUCGAAUAGGGCGGUACCUUGACGGUACCUAACCGAAGACCGACU